CCAGUGGAAUUAAUUGGCCUGCCUGGCUACCUUAACCCCUUUCAAUCCUGUGUGGGGCAGAUGCUGCAUCACAGAGUCAAAACUCACUCUCUAUAGAUGUCAGUGGGAAAAGCAGGCAACCUUAUUCUGAGCACUUCAGGGAGAAGCUUGUAGAUAACUUCAGCACCUCCUGCACCGAAGAUGGGAAGUAGUUGGUCCCAGUGACAGCUGGUGAGGUGGCGAGCAGGAGGAGCGGCUGGCGAGGCGGACAGGUGGCAUAGCGAGCGAGCAACUGGCAGAGAGACGGAUUGAGCAGUCGGCGGGGCAGCUGGCAGAGAGGGGCUGCGGAGGAGGACACUGCCCAACUUACCUGGGAGGCUGAGGCAACGGCAUGUGGCUAAAAGCAUCACGACAUCCCUUUGGACCCAAGACCUAGAGAUGCCUUUGACUAGCCAGUCAUCGAGGUACGGAUAGAUCUGGACACCCCGACAUCUGAGGGCUUGCCAGUCAAAGGGGAGAUCUUGCAUUGACUGCUGAGCCUCCAUGGACAAACCAGAGAGAAGCAGUCAGGAUGCCUGGCAGAUAGCGACAGCCGAGGCCAUGGUUCAGGCGGCAGCAUCCGCCGCAACCGACACCGCCUGGGAGGUCGCCCUGGCCGCAGUCUUGCCCUCCUCUAUGAUCUCCUGGAACUCCUUCCUAGAAGCCUCAGGAAGGGAGCCCUCAAACGUGGCCAUUGCUUGCCACAUGUUGAAGUCAUAGCAUCCCAGGAGGGCCUGAUGGUUGGCCACCCUCAACUGGAGACUAGAGGACAAAUAAACUU